CCCUUAGAUGUUCUGGGCCGCACGCGCGCUACACUGUUCGACGCAGCGAGUCUUAACCUUGACCGAAAGGUUUGGGUAAUCUUCAGCAAAGUCGAACGUGAUGGGGAUCGAUCAUUGCAAUUAUUGAUCGUGAACGAGGAAUUCCUAGUAAGUGCAAGUCAUCAGCUUGCGCUGAUUACGUCCCUGCCCUUUGUACACACCGCCCGUCGCUACUACCGAUUGAAUGGUGUAGUGAGAUCUCUGGAUUGACGCUGGCUAGGGGGCGACCCUUGGCCGGACUGUUGAGAAACUGCUCAAACUUGAUCAUUUAGAGGAAGUAAAAGUCGUAACA
rnacentral:rRNA from 1 species